AAAAAAUCUGGCUCAGUUCAAGCAAAAAAGAAGAGAACUUGAGCUAGUUUAGGAUGGAAUUCUUAUUCAAUAAUUAUUGGCUUAGUUCAGAUAAACUAAAAGAGAAAUCCGGUUCAAAGAUAGAAAUAUAUAGAGCAAUUGGUUUGGUUCGAUCUAAUAAAGUAAGUUGACCCGGUUCAACAUUAUUGAUUUGGUUCAGAUAAUUAAAAAAGAAAUCUAGUUCAAAGAUGGAAAUAUAUAGAAUAAUUGAUUCGGUCCAAUGAAGCAAAUUGAUCCUGUUGUUCAAGCACAAACAGAGAAAAAUUAUAUAAUUAUUUGGAGGACUUGAGCUGGUUCAAGGUGACACCCAAUAACCCGGUUUGGUUCAAACAAAGAAAAAGAAAUUAGUAGAGCCCACAUUUAAUUUAACAAAAAAAAAAAUGAAGCCAUGUGGCAAAGUUUAAGAGAAAUAAUGUAUAGGUAUAGAGAUAUGGAUAUAGAUAGAUAUAGAUUUGGAUAUAUGACCCUCUUCUUGCCACGAAAGUGUCACGUUGGUAAUUUUAAGUUGAACACGGUGAUUGAAUCACCGUAUUUAUAUUUACACUUUAGUCAUUUUUUCUUACUUUAGGUGCAAUAAAAAAUAAAAAAAAUAAUGCGGUAAUUCAAUUACCGUGUUCAACUAGUACCUAGGUGCUCGGGUGGCAAGAAAAAAAUUAUUUAUU
rnacentral:lncRNA from 1 species